GCAAAACUGCCAUUAUAUUUGCAGUAGCAUAAAGAUGUGAUUGUCAGUUGUCACCGCAAGUGUCCUGUAAUUGCAUACUUGUUUUUCUGUGUUGGUCAUGGGGUAGCUUGGGAGCAUGCUGCUCUUCUGGGUUGUCAGAAUCCUUUAGUUUUAAUUUGCUUAUUUGAAUGGGUAAAUGCUUGGGUUUAUUUUAGUUUCUCUUUUCUUAUUGGUUGUUCUGUUAAUUAAUUAAGGC
rnacentral:misc_RNA from 1 species